rnacentral:rRNA from 1 species
GAUGAACGCUAGCGGCAGGCUUAACACAUGCAAGUCGAGGGGCAUCGCGAGGUAGCAAUACUUUGGCGGCGACCGGCGCAAGGGUGCGUAACGCGUGAGCAACUUGCCCGCAACAGGAGAAUAACCCGGAGAAAUUCGGACUAAUACUCCAUAGCAACUUCGAGGGGCAUCUCUCGGAGUUUAAAGCUUCGGUGGUUGCGGAUAGGCUCGCGUAACAUUAGUUAGUUGGUAAGGUAACGGCUUACCAAGACGAUGAUGUUUAGGGGUUCUGAGAGGAAGAUCCCCCACACCGGAACUGAGACACGGUCCGGACUCCUACGGGAGGCAGCAGUGAGGAAUAUUGGACAAUGGUCGGAAGACUGAUCCAGCCAUGCCGCGUGAAGGAAGACGGUUCUAUGGAUUGUAAACUUCUUUUGACAGGGAGCAAUAAUACCGACGUGUCGGUAGAUGAGAGUACCUGUGGAAUAAGCAUCGGCUAACUCCGUGCCAGCAGCCGCGGUAAUACGGAGGAUGCAAGCGUUAUCCGGAUUUAUUGGGUUUAAAGGGUGCGCAGGCGGACUAAUAAGUCAGUGGUGAAAUUUACAUGCUUAACAUGUGCCGUGCCAUUGAUACUGUUAGACUAGUAUUCAAAUGACGUAGCUGGAAUGUGUUGUGUAGCGGUGAAAUGCUUAGAUAUAACACAGAACGCCGAUAAGUGAUCCACCUGGGGAGUACGACCGCAAGGUUGAAACUCAAAGGAAUUGACGGGGGCCCGCACAAGCGGAGGAACAUGUGGUUUAAUUCGAUGAUACGCGAGGAACCUUACCCGGGCUCGAACGGCAGAGGGAUAUGUUAGAGAUAAUAUAGCCGCAAGGCUUCUGUCGAGGUGCUGCAUGGUUGUCGUCAGCUCGUGCCGUGAGGUGUCGGCUUAAGUGCCAUAACGAGCGCAACCCUUGUUGUCAGUUGCCAUCAGGUAAAGCUGGGGACUCUGGCGAGACUGCCACCGUAAGGUGCGAGGAAGGGGGGGAUGACGUCAAAUCAGCACGGCCCUUACGUCCGGGGCGACACACGUGUUACAAUGGAUGGUACAGAGGGGAGCUACACAGUGAUGUGAUGCCAAUCUCAAAAGCCAUUCUCAGUUCGGAUUGGAGUCUGCAACCCGACUCCAUGAAGUUGGAUUCGCUAGUAAUCGCGCAUCAGCCAUGGCGCGGUGAAUACGUUCCCGGGCCUUGUACACACCGCCCGUCAAGCCAUGGAAGCCGGGGGCGCCUGAAGUUCGUAACCGCAAGGAGCGACCUAAGGCAAAACCGGUAACUGGGGCU